rnacentral:RNase_P_RNA from 2 species
GGAGUGGAUCAGAUGAUCGCCGGCCUGCAGCAAGCAGACGGGAGGAAAGUCCGAGCUCCAGAGGGCAGGAUGGUCGCUAAUGACGACUGGAGGCGACUCUAAGGAAAGUGCCACAGAAAAUAUACCGCCCGACUCCGUUGGGUAAGGGUGAAAAGGCGAGGUAAGAGCUCACCGUUUUCCGGGUGACCGGAAAAGCAUGGUAAACCCCAUCCGGAGCAAGACCAAAUAGGAGAACAUUUGAGAGUGGCCCGCUCGACGUUCUCGGGUAGCGUCGCUUGAGGCAGCAGGCAACUGCUGUCCUAGAGGAAUGAUCAUCGCCAUACUCCGGGAGAUUGGAAUAUGGAACAGAACUCGGCUUAUGAUCUGCUCCGACU